GUCCCUAUUUCCCCUGUCUUUUUUCUCAAUUCUCUUGUCUCAUGUAUGCCACUCCUGUCUCCUUCAUUUGAUCCCACUGUCAGCAUCACACAAACUGGCUGUGCUGCAUCUGAAACAGUUCUCAAUCUGAUGACUCUGUUCACUUACCAUCUUUCUUGAUGCAAUUUUAUUUCACUCUAUCAUUUAAUUUACUCUAAAAUCAUGCACAGACUGAGCUUCUCACUUGAAUAUCCAGUCUGUGAGGGACUUUGACUGUGUGACAUUUCCUGUUUUCUUUGAUUUCAUUUUCCUGCCUCAUACUCAAUCAGCUAUUCCUUUACAUCCUAUGAUUUGAUUCUGCACUGCCAUGCCUCCAGUGCCAUUGUGCGCUUUGUUGUUUCCAAUCACUUCCUUUCGCAAUUGACUGGCAAACUUUGUGUUGUUAGCACACUUGCGAUGCAUGCCGGUGAUGGGCGGGAUUGUGACCACUCGUUGAAGAUGGUAGACCAAGGGUAAAAAAUGCCCCACUACGCCUCAGAUAUUACACAUCAGGUCCUGUCUACAACAAGAGUGUAUGGUUUGAAAGGUUUGAUUAGAAUGAAUGUGGCCUUUGCGAGGCGUCGCGGGUACAUCUGAAGUGGAACAAUGAAGGGCGUGUGAUCUUGCUAUGAAUCAAGGAUGACGAGUGUAUGUGAUUGGGGGGG
rnacentral:sRNA from 1 species